rnacentral:lncRNA from 1 species
UGAUUUCUCUGGAUUUCUUUUUAUCUCAGCUUAUAUAGUUGUGUAUAAUUAUGGUUCUGUAACACCUGACAAUAUGUUUUAACAUACUAUAUGUUAUAACAUUCUAUGUGACAUUCUCUGUUGGACUAAUAGACAUUUAUUUUGUCUCAUUGGUCUCUUUGGUCUAUUUUGACUAAAAAGGGGGAGAAGUAGUAGGUAAAGGAGAGCUGCAG